AUAAAAGCAAUGAAAAAAGAGUGUCAUUAGGUCAAUGGUUUAAGCGAGCAGAUGAUGGUGUGAGAUCUGUACGAAUACCCAAUGAAUGGAGCUUUUGGAGCUGCAGACAGUGUCUAAUCGCACCGUGUCUGACGUGAAACUCGUUAAAAAUUAAGGUGGUUUGUCUUUGACAGGCAACUUGGGUGGAACCGCGGAACAAUCCGUCCCUUGU
rnacentral:ncRNA from 1 species